CAGUAGCCGCGGUAAUACAGAGGAUGCAAGCGUUAUCCGGAAUGAUUGGGCGUAAAGCGACUGUAGGUGGCUUUUCAAGUCCGCUGUCAAAUCCCAGGGCUCAACCCUGGACAUGCGGUCGAGACUACCAAGCUAGAGUACGGUAGAGGCUGAUAGAAUUUCCGGUGUAGCGGUGAAAUGCGUUGAGAUCGGAAAGAAUACCAACGGCGAAGGCAGUCAGCUGGGCUAACACUGACACUGAGAUACGAAAGCUAGGGGAGCAAAUGGGAUUAGAGACCCCUGUAGUCCCUGUCUCUUAUAC
rnacentral:rRNA from 1 species